GCAGCAGCAGCAGCCACGAUGAUCAUGGUCAGUGUGUCGAUCUAGCCCAGACUCUUCCUUUUGCUUUAAAGUCAUGCUGGAACGCGUCUCAGCAUUGCUCGCUUGAACGCCAACAGGUUUGGACGAGGAGAGGAGCUUAAACUUGCAGCCCGCGUGACUCGCAAUGCAGCCUUGUCUACGAAAGUAUCAUUGCAUUUCAGCUAGAGGGGGUGUCCAAGUUUGAAUCCACCACUAGCUCCUCCUACAUGCUUCGUCAAAAUAGCGAAUGGCCGAGGACUACUGACGACCUGGAUAACGAUACGCUGCUCCACACUUUCGAGCAGCGUUUGACUGCCGCGCUUGUGCCAAUCUCAUAUCAUUGUGUUGUAUCAUUCCACCGCUUGUCAUGCUUCUUCUUUGCUCUCACCUGACGCUCGAUCAAGGCUCUCACAGGCUGCAGUGAAUAACAAAGGAAUCACUGGUGCAUCAACCCUCAGGUUCUGAGUCUAAUCAGUUGCACCAAAUCAGGGAUGUGCCUCUCGUGUUUUUGGGAGUGAGUAUUUAAUUUCAUGGUCUUGAACAUGGCCAGAGGAUUUGAUCUUGCAAAGAAGAGAGAAACAAAUAAAUACCCCAACCUCCAGCACUCUUGACAUUUCCAGAUGCCUCUCAACUCUGCUCUUCAAGAGGGUGGUUGGAUCAAAUCAAACUUGCUCAUUUUCCAGAAA